GUGGGGAAUAUUGGACAAUGGGCGCAAGCCUGAUCCAGCCAUGCCGCGUGUGUGAAGAAGGCCUUUUGGUUGUAAAGCACUUUAAGCGAGGAGGAGGCUCCUUUAGUUAAUACCUAAAGAGAGUGGACGUUACUCGCAGAAUAAGCACCGGCUAACUAUGUGCCAGCAGCCGCGGUAAUACAGAGGGUGCGAGCGUUAAUCGGAUUUACUGGGCGUAAAGCGUGCGUAGGCGGCUUUUUAAGUCGGAUGUGAAAUCCCUGAGCUUAACUUAGGAAUUGCAUUCGAUACUGGAAAGCUAGAGUAUGGGAGAGGAUGGUAGAAUUCCAGGUGUAGCGGUGAAAUGCGUAGAGAUCUGGAGGAAUACCGAUGGCGAAGGCAGCCAUCUGGCCUAAUACUGACGCUGAGGUACGAAAGCAUGGGGAGCAAACAGGAUUAGAAACCCUGGUAGUCC
rnacentral:rRNA from 1 species